GGCUGGUCCAAUGGUAGUGGUUAUCAUAACUGAUUAACACUGGCGUCACUAAAGUUGGUACACGACUCCACACGGCUAAAUGUGACUGGCUUAA
rnacentral:Y_RNA from 10 species